rnacentral:rRNA from 2 species
CGGAAGAGAUAAGUGCUGAAAGCAUCUAAGCACGAAACUUGCCCCGAGAUGAGUUCUCCCUGAGACUUUAAGUCUCCUGAAGGAACGUUGAAGACGACGACGUUGAUAGGCCGGGUGUGUAAGCGCAGCGAUGCGUUGAGCUAACCGGUACUAAUGAACCGUGAGGCUUAACCUUACAACGCCGAAG